UCUUCAUCGAGCUGCACAUCCUCCAGCCGCCCAGACUCGCGGAGUUCCUGCGGCAUUCCUGACGUACGGUCUUCCGAAAUCGAGCUGUCACUGGAAGAAGGGAGGAGUUCUCCAACUUCAUCGACCUGCACAUACUCCAGCCGCCCAGACUCGCAGAGUUCCUGUGGCAUUCCUGACGACCAGUCUUCCGAAAUCGGGCUGUCCCUGGAAGAAGAGGGAUGUUCGUCAGCUUCAUGGGACCACACAUAUUCCUGUCUCCCACUAGAGAACAGUCCACUGGAGGCUCAUGCUGAUCAUAGCUACGCCCUUCCUCAAAAUGCUGUUCCUGCUCACGAGUCCAGCGGAG